GACAGAGGGUGCAAACGUUGUUCGGAAUUACUGGGCGUAAAGCGCGUGUAGGCGGCCCUGCAAGUCGGAUGUGAAAUCCCACGGCUCAACCGUGGAAGUGCAUUCGAAACUGCAGGGCUAGAGUCCUGGAGAGGAAGGUGGAAUGCUUGGUGUAGAGGUGAAAUUCGUAGAUAUCGAGAGGAACACCGGUGGCGAAGGCGGCCUUCUGGACAGUGACUGACGCUGAGACGCGAAAGCGUGGGGAGCAAACAGG
rnacentral:rRNA from 1 species